AUACGUAGGGGGCGAGCGUUGUCCGGAAUGAUUGGGCGUAAAGGGCGCGUAGGCGGCGCGGUAAGUCUGGAGUGAAAGUCCUGCUUUCAAGGUGGGAAUUGCUUUGGAUACUGCCGCGCUUGAGUGCAGGAGAGGUUAUCGGAAUUCCCGGUGUAGCGGUGAAAUGCGUAGAGAUCGGGAGGACCACCAGUGGCGAAGGCGGGUAACUGGCCUACAACUGACGCUGAGGCGCGAAAGUGUGGGGAGCAAACAGGAUUAGAUACCCUGGUAGUCCCUACUGUAAACGAUGAAUGCUAGGUGUAAGAGGAAUCGACCCCUUUUGUGCCGGAGUCAACACAAUAAGCAUUCCGCCUGGGGAGUACGGCCGCAAGGUUGAAACUCAAAGGAAUUGACGGGG
rnacentral:rRNA from 1 species